CACGUAAGGGACGAGCGUUGUCCGGAUUCAUUGGGCGUAAAGAGCGUGUAGGCGGCCAAACAGGUCCGUUGUGAAAACUGGAGGCUCAACCUCCAGACGUCGACGGAAACCGUAUGGCUAGAGUCCGGAAGAGGAGAGUGGAAUUCCUGGUGUAGCGGUGAAAUGCGCAGAUAUCAGGAAGAACACCAAUGGCGAAGGCAGCUCUCUGGGACGGUACUGACGCUGAGACGCGAAAGCGUGGGGAGCGAACAGG
rnacentral:rRNA from 1 species